rnacentral:rRNA from 1 species
AACGAACGCUGGCGGCAGGCCUAACACAUGCAAGUCGAGCGCUCUCUUCGGAGGGAGCGGCGGACGGGUUAGUAACGCGUGGGAACGUGCCCUUCUCUACGGAAUAGCCUCGGGAAACUGGGAGUAAUACCGUAUACGCCCUUUGGGGGAAAGAUUUAUCGGAGAAGGAUCGGCCCGCGUUGGAUUAGGGUAGUUGGUGGGGUAAUGGCCUACCAAGCCUACGAUCCAUAGCUGGUUUGAGAGGAUGAUCAGCAACACUGGGACUGAGACACGGCCCAGACUCCUACGGGAGGCAGCAGUGGGGAAUCUUAGACAAUGGGCGCAAGCCUGAUCUAGCCAUGCCGCGUGAGUGACGAAGGCCUUAGGGUCGUAAAGCUCUUUCGCUGGGGAAGAUAAUGACGGUACCCAGUAAAGAAACCCCGGCUAACUCCGUG